AGAGUGUAACCAAGGUUCUCCGACAUCAAAGCUAGCAACUUUUGCAUCCAACUCUGUCACGGAUUCCAUAUACUGGAUGGAAAAUCGGGCCUCUGAUUAAAAGCGGGAACAUAAUUUUCUAUGGUCUGGAAUCUGCGGUCUUUUUGAUUAAUAGUUGAGUCUCAGGUGUUCGACGAAAUGUCAAACCGAGUUUGCAUAAAAAGAGG
rnacentral:lncRNA from 1 species